UGAAUAAUCACAGAGAGCCUUCAAGCACUGUCACAUCUUCAACUUAACCUGUGACCUCUGAGAUGACCUCUGACCUCUGCCAAUACAGAGUUUGACAUGAUGCUUCUGUCACUCAUACGCAGCUCAAUUAUCAUAAUUAACAGAGAACCUGGAGAUUCAGACAAAUGAAGGAUGCAAAGGACUUUCUUGUGAAAGAAAAAAAAAACUUAUGUAUGUAUGAAUUCUCCUCUCCCUUCACAACUGUCACAAUCAUUUUAAUUUAUGUUUUUCCUUAACCAAACUUCAAAAACAUAAGGACAGAUCCAUUCAGCGCAGCUGAUGACAAUUGAUGAUUUUCUUCUUAUUGUGAUUCAGAGUGUAGAGGACAGAUCACCAUCACUGUUUUUUACAAAAUAUUUCUGUUUUACAAAUAUUCAAAUCCUCACAGAAGGACUGAGAUCAAAGUUUAUAGUUCAGAUUAGAGGUCUUCACGGGUCCAAAAAUUCAUACCCGAACCUGAAGAGACCCGUAAAUGUGCUACACGGAACCGACCCGGGCCCGACUAUUAUUUUGAAAGUUGGACCCGGACCCGUGCAAAACCGAGAAAUGCCAUAAAUGUACUACCCGGACCCGUCUAUUAUUUGAAAGCUGGACCCGAACCCGGCCGGGAAGACACAGACCCGACUGGACCCGAUCGGCACAUAGGUCUAUUCCACAGCAAAUUGCUAUUAAUAAGUCAAUAAAAAGGUUGCGAAAAUAAAACGUUUUGUCUUACCUAAUGUUAGUAGCCUUCUCCCUUGUACCUGACUGUGAUGCACUUGCCAAGAAAGUUCAUCCGUUAUUCCUCUCUUGCCGAUUGAAAUGCUUAAUCCACUCAAUAUUCCAGCUUUAAAAGUCCACUUGCUGUCACGAUGACAAAUGCGACUUUGCAGUUCUGCGUUUUGUUGUAUCUCGAGUCAACUCAUAUAAUAAAAUAACUUCAACUGUUUGCCCUUUUGAACUAUAAUAACGAUUGCUUGUUCAGUGACAUGGCCGCUGACGUUAGCAUUACUUAUGUGUGAUUAUUUCUGUGCUUUCUGAGCCGAGUCUGACCAAAACUUUAGAUAUAACAAGAUGGUUCAUUCAUAAUAUUAUUAUAAAAAUAGGAGAAAGAAAGUGCGCUCGCAUGAGACUGCACAUGCGCGUUAGCUGGAGCAACCUGAAACAAGCUUUUAAACGCAUUUUGAGCGUCAUAGAAAACAUUCAUGUGAUAGUUCAUCUCAGAUUUUGUUAAUGAUUUGAAAUAUUUAAAUGCGAGUGUGCAAGGCUUCAAGCAGUUUUUGAGACUGGAAGUUUGUUUGCACACAAUAGGAAUAGGAAAACUCGAUGAUCACAGUUCGCUUGCUUUAACUCCGCCCGCUCUGCUUCUGAUGGCUAGAGUCGCUCGUGUUUUUUUCACCUUAUUUCCCGGCUCAUACUUUGCAAAUUACAAAAAAAACGCUGACUGACUCCCAACAUGGCCAAGUGAUCUCCGAAUCAGAUCGGCUCGGGUAUACACACAAUGAUAAACAGACCCGGGAACCCAAGUAAUACAUUGGGACCCGACCCGGACCCGUCUGACCAUUUAAAAUAUAGACCCAAAUCCAUACGGGUCCCGGGUCGGGUCCCGGGUCCUCGGGUCUCGGGUCCUCUUUGUAGACCUCUAGUUCAGAUAUAACGGUAGAGAUUAAAAUAGAGCAAAUCACAAGUUACUUUUGAAAGUAACUUGAUGCUUCAAAUAACGAUUGUAUCGAUUAAAUUGUUACACCAGUAGAUGGAGACAAGAGACUGUUAAAAAUGCAUUCGUCACUGAAUCAUUCAAGAGAUUCGUUCAAAAAUGCUGAUUCAUCCAGUAAUGAAACAAGUGAAGUAUUUAUGAGAAUCAUUUCAUUCAAAACCAUUUUUUUAAAAAAAAAUAAUUCAAAAUAAUACAAAGUCUUAAAUUCAUAUUUUGUAAGAACCUCUAGUAGGCUACAUUGCAUGUUAUUUUGUUUAGUUGUCUGUUCAGAAUGGUGGAAGAAUUUCUAUUUUAAACAAAAGAAGAUUGUGAUUCUCAAUAUAUCUAGAAUCGUGUCGCUCUAAUCAAACAUUGAUUUAUUCAGGAAUGUGUUGAUCAGCAAUAUAUUCGUUUGGAACCAUUUCAACUGGACCGAAAACAAAGUAACUUCUCUUAAUACUGAGUCUAAAGAAUAAAUUACUCAUUAGUAACUUUUUGUUUACUGAACUAUUGUAUGAAAGUCAUAUCACAUUCUCAGUCGUGCUGUUGAUCUGACAUUCACACUAAACAGAGCUCUUGCUCAUUAUACUGCUUUAUGAGGAUUAUAUUAACAUAUGAACUCAUGAAAUGUUUUGUGAAGUCUCAAUGAAACCACAUUAAACCAACUUAAACCUGUCACUCCUGAAGCGUUUGCAUAGAGAGUGUGUUUUACAUGAGCGACACACACUUCAGUGCUCUGCAUGUGUUUAUAACUCUGUCAAACAUCAAACAUGAUCAACAACUGUUUUUCACUAGAACUGAACCUACAACCAACAAAAAUGACUUUCAGCACCAUAUUGAUCUGGACGCUGGCAGUAUUAUGUCGAGAAUCUGUUGGUCAGGUGACAGUGACUCAAACUCCCUCAGAGCUGCUCUCUCAAACUGGACAAUCAGUCACUGUGACCUGUAAA